rnacentral:rRNA from 1 species
UGGGGAAUAUUGGACAAUGGGCGAAAGCCUGAUCCAGCCAUGCCGCGUGUGUGAAGAAGGUCUUCGGAUUGUAAAGCACUUUAAGUUGGGAGGAAGGGCAGUAAGCGAAUACCUUGCUGUUUUGACGUUACCGACAGAAUAAGCACCGGCUAACUCUGUGCCAGUAGCCGCGGUAAUACAGAGGGUGCAAGCGUUAAUCGGAAUUACUGGGCGUAAAGCGCGCGUAGGUGGUUCGUUAAGUUGAAUGUGAAAGCCCCGGGCUCAACCUGGGAACUGCAUCCGAAACUGGCGAGCUAGAGUAGGGCAGAGGGUGGUGGAAUUUCCUGUGUAGCGGUGAAAUGCGUAGAUAUAGGAAGGAACACCAGUGGCGAAGGCGACCACCUGGGCUCAUACUGACACUGAGGUGCGAAAGCGUGGGGAGCAAACAGG